rnacentral:rRNA from 1 species
CUGCCAGUAGUCAUAUGCUUGUCUCAAAGAUUAAGCCAUGCAUGUCUCAGUACAAGCCAAAUUAAGGUGAAACCGCGAAAGGCUCAUUAAAUCAGUUAUGGUUCCUUAGAUCGUACCCACAAUUACUUGGAUAACUGUGGUAAUUCUAGAGCUAAUACAUGCAAACAGAGCUCCGACCGGAGACGGAAGGAGUGCUUUUAUUAGAUCAAAACCAAUCGGUGGCGAGUUCGCUCGUCAUCGUACAACUUGGUGACUCUGAAUAACUUUACGCUGAUCGCACGGUCUCGCACCGGCGACGCAUCUUUCAAAUGUCUGCCUUAUCAACUGUCGAUGGUAGGUUCUGCGCCUACCAUGGUUGUAACGGGUAACGGGGAAUCAGGGUUCGAUUCCGGAGAGGGAGCCUGAGAAACGGCUACCACAUCCAAGGAAGGCAGCAGGCGCGCAAAUUACCCACUCCCGGCACGGGGAGGUAGUGACGAAAAAUAACGAUACGGGACUCAUCCGAGGCCCCGUAGGCGGAAUGAGUACACUCUAAACCCUUUAACGAGGAUCAAUUGGAGGGC